UACGUAGGUGGCAAGCGUUGUCCGGAUUUACUGGGCGUAAAGGGCGUGCAGGCGGUUUGUUAAGUGCAGGGUGAAAGCUCCCGGCUCAACUGGGAGAGGUCCUUGCAUACUGGCAAACUCGAGGGAGGCAGAGGAAAGUGGAAUUCCCGGUGUAGUGGUGAUAUGCGUAGAUAUCGGGAGGAACACCUGCGGCGAAGGCGGCUUUCUGGGCCUUACCUGACGCUGAGACGCGAAAGCGUGGGGAGCGAACCGG
rnacentral:rRNA from 1 species